GGCCUUCCUCUGGUAAUUGUAGCUGCUGUCACCAUAGACUUUAACAGGGCGCGCAGCUGUGACCGGUCCCAAAGAUGGCGGCGAUAGAAUACAGUGACGUCACAUGAAACCCAUGUAUACCUGGGUGUUGUUCAGGUACAGCAGUUUAUGUUCAAAUUUUGAUGUUAGAUAAACUAGUAUUGUUAUGACCAGUAGGUGUUGCUGUCACCAAACCAAUGAGAACUACAACCUAUUUUCAAUAGGAAAAAGUGUUGCAUCAUAUGCAUUAUAACUUUUCAGUAACACAUCAACUUUGUUAGGCUUGGCUAAUGGUGGACAGUGCUGUGAAAAACAGUUAACAUGUUAUACUUCAGAAUAGUAAACAAUAAUCAAUCUCAAAGACUUAAUCUCAAGACUCAAGCAUUAUAGACCAUAUUUGUGAAUAACUUGAAGAAGAAGAAAGUCAUAUACAUUUGAAAUUUUCAUUUGAAAGUGAACUAAUGCUUUAACAGAGAUGGGAAUCACUGUUAGACAUUUCUGUAAUUUCUACAGUUAUUUACCAUAUAUCACCUAGUAUUAUACUGCUAAUUCGAUCUCUUUACAGUUAAUAACUGUGAUUCCCUUUGCAUUAUGGGAAUUUUCUGUGACGUCAAGCACCACAUACAGUGAUUUACUGUAUUUUUAAAAUUUGCAGUAUACUACUGUAUUUGCUGUAACGGAUCCUCUGGCUCCAUUCCGUCGUGUUUUUUAUUUUCCUAUUUUUGUACAUUUGGUUUGACAUGUUUCGCCUCACACCGUGUGUCUACAACGCUAACAGCCCGCGGCUGUCUAUAUUGGACACACCGGACCUUUACAAAAUGCAAACCUUGUGUCAGAAAUAGCGCGAGCGCUUGGACUCGGAGUACUGUACAUAUAACGGGGCAUCAUACUGUCUCUGUCUGGGAUUUGUCGUGUCGCGACGGAGCAUUCAGUGCAAACAGUGAAUGAAUUGGGUUCUGACUUUUGUUGGAUCGCGUCGUUCGCGUCCGAGGUAGAGACGGAAUCAGCGUGGCAGCGCCACAGUCUGCGGCUCAUGGUGUACCGAUGCACCCCAUGAAGACUUCUCCCCGAGAGAGAGAGACCAGCAAGCAAGGUCUCAACUGCACCAAAGCGCCGGUGACUGCUAGCAAGAUUUCUGAGCAAAUGAAGCAAUCAGAAGAUGGACCAUUUUCUAUGUUAUGUCUCACCAGAUUACAUUUAUCCAGGCCGAAGACUCUACCAUUGCAGUCCCGACUGACCAGGAAGGUCCUAAUAUCAGCGCACAGCUUCCCCUUCACUGCAGACAAGCUGAAAUUGGCCAAAUGUCGAUUGCAGUCUCUCUCUCUAUGGAUCUCAGCAUUUUUGGACAGAAUUUAGGAUAUUGUUAGAGCCGGGAUCUCCUCUGAAGGACUGAGUACAUUUGUGUUCGUGGACACAAUCUUUGGAGAAGUUCAUUUAUUUCCAAAGGUGGACAAAAACAGUGUGUUGUCUUCUUUUUUUUUUUUUUUUUUUAUGAAUUUAGAGGAGAACAUUGAUAAUAAGAAGAAAUGUUUCUUGAACAGUCUUCUUUCAAAAACAUUAAGACACUUAAGUGCUUUUGGCCACUAGUGUACAUUAAUCAAUUUUUGAAUGAUUUUGAAAGUGGGGUUAUGUGUCAUGUUUCCUAAUGAGAUUGAGAAAAUAACUGUUUUGUCCUGUGUUGGACAUUUCAUUUUUGACUGCUUAAAAAUGUAUUUAUAUUUUGCAGUUUUAUGAAUGUAAUUUUUGAUAUUUAAUUAUAAUAUUUUUUGACAAUAAGCUAAACAACCAUUGACUUUACAUCAUUUUUAUGUCAUUUUAUAUUUUUAACACAUCCUUUCCAGCAUUGGCAGACUGUUUAUUUUGUGAUAUAUAUGCAAUGUUUUAAAUAAAAAAUAAAAUGAUAUUUUGGAAUAAUUUUGUGUGAAUUGUAUCUCAGUAGUACUUAAUUAAAUUAAUUCUAUAAUUAAUUCUAUAUAAAAAUUAUGAAAUCUAUAUUUAGGACAAAUAAUUACAGUAGUGUACUGAUUACCUGGGUUUUUUACAGUAAUUGCACCGCAUUACAUAAUUACAGUACCAUGUAGUUACUGUAAAACUGAAAUACGGUGAUAGUACUGUAAAUCUUAAUUACAGUAACUUACUGGCAACAGUGUUGCCAGUAAGUUACUGUAAAAACCCCUUGAAAUGUCUAACAGUGAAUAACUGAACUUGUUAAAAAGGCAAUAAUUUAUUUGUAAAAAUAAAUUUGUAUUUGUAUUUAUAAUCCUACAAAUGUAACACUCAUAUUUAUCAUCUGGUUUGAAACAAUUAGUGUGGAUGAAAUAUAUAAAUCAAAUAUAAAUCACCUGCAGUGUGUCCACAGUGGAUGUUUAAAAUCAGCACUAAAAACACAAAGAGAAAAACUCAUUACAGUGUAAGCUGAUAAAACUGUUUUAUACAUCAGACAUGUUAUAACAGUAUAUUUUUCUUUGCUUGUGGAACACCAUUUUAUGCUUAAAUGUUCUCAAAUGUUCUCAUUUUGGUUUGUCUAAUUUGUCUAGAACUAAAGUCACCUGUACAAGUGCAUAUGAUGAUUUGGUGAAAAUAUGAUGUAACAUAAGUACAUAUAAAAUUUAAUUACAAAGAUUUGUACAAAUGUCCAGCUUAAUUUGUCCAGAAUAGGUUUCGAGUGGUUUUAAGUUUAAGGAACCUGAGAUAAAAAAAAAAAAAAAAAUAAAAAAAAAAAAAAAAAAAAAAACACAUUCGCCACUCUGAAUGAGGAUCAGAUGUCGUAGCUGCGUCGGAGAGAGAGGGCUAUUGUCCUCUGAUAUUCCCUCUGAUCAAUGCUUUCCUGGGUCACGCAAUGGACUCAAGUGGAAUACUCCACCCUGUCCUGUGCAUGUGUGGCUGGAUGAUUGAGAAUGAAGAGCUUAGGAAGCAUGGAAGGCAGACUGCCAAAAUCUGCUUCAAAAGUCAGGGGGUUUGUGGGGAUUCCCCAGGUGGAGUGUGUAAUUGCAAAGUGCCGGCCAUCCAGCGCUUGUGCGAUGACGGCAGCUCUGGAUGCUAAGCCUCACAGUGCCGCUGGACAGGCCACCUCUGCCUUGCAUGUGACAGCCGUCCUGCAGGCCAAAGCACUCAAGGGUUGUUCUGAACCAGGGUUAAUGCAGGAGCUGUGCACGGUAACUGACCCUGCCCUCCGGCCGAUAAAAGUCACGGUGCAGGCCCUUGGCCAGACGCACAUGACAUGCAAUUAAAAAAAAUUUAAUUGUGCGCACGAUUUACUAUUUCGUUCCCUCGAAUUAUAAAUCAUGUGCAUGAUUUAUAAAUCAAGGGAACGAAAUAGUAAAUAUUUAACCUACUAUUUUUUUCAUGCAUGUAAUGUCCAGGGCUCCGUAAUUUCCCCCAUAUGUCGGCUUUUUUUUUUCUUUUUUUCAAAAGUUAUUUGAAAUAUCUAAGUAAACACUUUACUUGCAUUUAACAUGUUUUUUAUGUAUAUAAAAUUACUUUUGUAAAUUUUAUUUGAUGCAGACACCAAAAUGGUGACAUCUCAUCUUUCACCCAUAUAUAACCACAGGACUGAAUUGAAAGUAAAAAAAAAAAAAAUUAAAUAGAGCAUUGAAAAAUAUGCUAAAAAAUUAAACAUGAGAAAAAGAAAACAUUUUUGUUGCAUUGUUUCUAUAUGACAUCAGUCCAUUUAUUCUGGAAACACUCUGGGACUGGAUUUUGGAAUCCAGCACCUUGAAGUUUCAUGUGUUGGAUAAAGGCGUCUCUCAUAUGCAUAAAUAUAAUGUAAUGUAACAUCCAAUGACAUAUAGAGGAAGAAUAAAUAUAGAGAAAAUAAUAAUACUCACAGAGCACAAGAAGAAGUUGACUAAGCUCCAUACUGACCCAAUAGUCUGUGUUAAAACCUCAAGACUUCAUCUACAGUAAGUAGUGAAAACUGCUUGUUUAUCAGAAACCACACCACAAGUAUUGCAUAACUUAUCCAGGGUUUAGGUCUACACAGGGGUGGAUCUAGAAAAUUAUUUAUAGGGUGGC